rnacentral:rRNA from 1 species
GAUGAACGCUGGCGGCGUGCCUAAUACAUGCAAGUCGAGCGAACUGAUUAGAAGCUUGCUUCUAUGACGUUAGCGGCGGACGGGUGAGUAACACGUGGGCAACCUGCCUGUAAGACUGGGAUAACUUCGGGAAACCGAAGCUAAUACCGGAUAGGAUCUUCUCCUUCAUGGGAGAUGAUUGGAAGAUGGUUUCGGCUAUCACUUACAGAUGGGCCCGCGGUGCAUUAGCUAGUUGGUGAGGUAACGGCUCACCAAGGCAACGAUGCAUAGCCGACCGGAGAGGGUGACCGGCACCACUGGGACUGAGACCCGGCCCAGACUCCUACGGGAGGCAGCAGUAGGGAAUCGUCCGCAAUGGCCGAAAGUCUGACGGAGCAACGCCGCGUGGGUGAUGAAGGCUUUCGGGUCGUAAAACUCUGUUGUUAGGGAAGAACAAGUACAAGAGUAACUGCUUGUACCUUGACGGUACCUAACCAGAAAGCCACGGCUAACUACGUGCCAGCAGCCGCCGUAA